ACAGCCAUGUGAUACUUUACUAUACUAGUCUGAAGCUACCUGCAGGGGUGAGAAGAAACCCUGGAAGCCUGAAACACAAAUGACCGUCCCAACCUGCACCAGAGAGAGAUUUUGGUCCUGGGAAGGAAAGCCACUCCCAAGCCCACCGUUCUUCAGACAAGGUCUUUUAUGUCUCCUUCAAGGCCAGGCAGCUGACAUCACACACUAGCGCACGCACGCACACACAGGCACACAAGCAGGGGAUGACAGGUGAGAACCCCAUUACCUGCAGGGAUCAAGAUUCCUGGCUGCUCUGGCCGGGCUGGUGCUUCUCCGCUCCUUGGCUUGCAGGUUCCGGGGCAGCUGCACACCCACAGUACAGCUAACUCGUAGGAGGAGUGCUGCGAACAGCUGAGGGUAGAGCUCUAGGACCACGGUUCCAGAUGAUGGGGCAGACAGGACUUCAUACAGUGCACAGGUGGCCUGGGGCAGAGCCACUACAAGUCAUAUCUCCCUUGAGACCACAGCAACUCCUGUACCCCUACUCCAGGACUCAAAGGGGUCCAAGCCUUGUAUGAACCCCAUAUACAGUUGAAGUUUUGAGUCUCUAGGGAGAGGUAGGAGGAACCCAGGAAGCCACUGAGUUGGUAGGACCCUGUGUAGCUCAGUCCUCUGGGCAUUAGGCAGGAGAGAGGAACAGUGUGGCCUUCGUGGGGACAAACUUCAGACCAUCUGUUCUUGGUUCCUUAGAAAGGAGAGGAAAUUCUCACAGCUGCUUUAUUGCUUAAAGUGUGGCUGGGCUGGGUUUAUUUUUUUUUCCACAGGAUAAAAUGUGAAGUGUGCUCCCUUGGGAGCUAACACCUGCUGGUCUUUAUGAGCCCCAGCACAGCUGCCAGGUGCCUUUGGGGUACCCAGGCCUCAUGUGGGGGCAGGGGCAGCAUGUAAGGUAGCCCCCCGAGUCCCUACUCACCGCAAGGGGAAGCAGCGUCGCUACUCUGUCUGCAGUGCUGCCCAGGAGGAAGGCACGGCUCUCCUUGAAUGGGACAUCUUUGCUCAUCUUCUCCAGAAGUAACUCUAAGACCUGAGCCGUGAGGCCGGGCUCCACUGCCAGUGCCCGCCACAGGGCGCAGGUGUGGCUACAACAGCAAGAAAAUGCAUCGUGAGCCAUUGCUGGCUGCAACACCCUGCUCACCACCACCUUGUGCUGCAGUUGUCCCCAGUUCUGCAAGGUUCAGACAUGCCAGAGUCAUCUUGCUGGGAGGGAGAUGGUGCCCUGAAGUCAGAUCUGAACUUGCCCAUUCCUCUGACCCCAGGGUUUGGAAACAGCUGGCAAUAGAAGCAGAAGGAAACCUGCCGGGCUGUGCACAGAAAACCUAAGGCAGGGAGCAUAGGUCUUUAAGGAGCUGCCGGAAGUAAAGAUUCCAAAGGAAGCAUCAAUCCCAGGGACAGGGACAGCACACAGUCAGAGGACCAAGGACACAAGGAAGAGGCAUGAGGAGAGCACUCAGGCACAACAGGUGGCAGGAUAGCACUCAUGGCAGUGCCCAACACACUGGGAGGCAAGUAUGCCCAUGUAUUCUGCAGAAAUGUAUGACAAACUUCUGACUUCUAUUAGAAAUAGGAAACUACAAAUAGCGACUCUAAGAGAGCUGAUGUCUGCAGAAUGGCGUAGUGAAUAAGGGGAUCUGCCACCAGGCCCCACGGUCCGAGUUCAAUCCCUGGGACUCACACAUCAGAAGGAAAGAACCAGCUUCCAAAACUAGUCCUGUGUCCUCGGUUCUGUGGCAUGCACAUACAUACAAAAAUAAAUAUAAAUAUGAAGUUAAG
rnacentral:lncRNA from 1 species